rnacentral:lncRNA from 1 species
UUAGAGAGGGAGGUGGUGCACUGGCUAAAGGUCUAUUUCGAGGAGUUACUGGAAUUUUAACAAAGCCUCUAGAAGGUGCAAAAGCGUCAGGUGUAGAAGGUUUUGUUCAGGGUGUUGGGAAAGGAUUGAUUGGUGCGGCUGCCCAACCUGUAAGUGGGGUUUUGGAUCUCUUGUCGAAAACCACAGAAGGUGCAAAUGCUAUGAGAAUGAAGAUUGCAUCUGCUAUUGCUUCAGAAGAUCAACUCCUUCGCAGGAGGCUGCCUAGAGUUAUUAGUGGGGAUAACAGCCUCUAGAAGGUGCAAAAGCGUCAGGUGUAGAAGGUUUUGUUCAGGGUGUUGGGAAAGGAUUGAUUGGUGCGGCUGCCCAACCUGUAAGUGGGGUUUUGGAUCUCUUGUCGAAAACCACAGAAGGUGCAAAUGCUAUGAGAAUGAAGAUUGCAUCUGCUAUUGCUUCAGAAGAUCAACUCCUUCGCAGGAGGCUGCCUAGAGUUAUUAGUGGGGAUAAUUUACUUCGUCCUUAUGAUGAGUACAAAGCACGGGGUCAGGUAUGUUGCUUCUUUGCUGUUCUAUAGCACUGAAUCCUAUUAAAUUUAGAAGUUAGGAACUAAUGAUUUAACACUGGAAGGCUUGACAUUAUAGAAUGUGUAUUUUUCUAUAUGCAUUGCAUAUCAACUGGACAUACCUCCUCUUCCCUUGUGCAGAUGACUCUACCCAUUUUUCAGAAGUAAAUUCUACUUCAUGAAUUUAGAAAAUUUUAUUCUAUUAUUAAGGGUGCCAAUAGCAGUUGUUUCAACUUUCAGUAUCAAAAUGAUUAGCCAAUAAUUUAUCAUGUGAUCUGUUUGCAGCAAUUUUUUUAAAUUUUUUAUUUUUAAG